CCCUUAGAUGUUCUGGGCCGCACGCGCGCUACACUGACGAAUGCAACGAGCUUAUAACCUUGGCCGAAAGGUCUGGGUAAUCUCCAAAUUUCGUCGUGAUGGGGAUAGAUUAUUGCAAUUAUCCUUCAUGAACGAGGAAUUCCCAGUAAGUGCAAGUCAUAAGCUUGCGCUGACUACGUCCCUGCCCUUUGUACACACCGCCCGUCGCUACUACCGAUUGAAUGAUUUAGUGAGGACUUCGGACUGGGACCGAUGCGGCUUUCGGGCUGCGUCGGUAUUCUGGAAAGAUGUCCAAACUGUAUCAUUUAGAGGAAGUAAAAGUCGUANCA
rnacentral:rRNA from 1 species